rfam:Ictidomys tridecemlineatus contig036518, whole genome shotgun sequence.
GUGGUUGUGGCUCAGUGGUAGAGUGCUCACCUAGCAUGUGUGAGGCGGGCACUGGGUUCAAUCCUCAGCACCAUG